UCCGAAUUGGUGUAGUGGUUAACAUUUGUCGCUCUCAUCGGAGCAGCACCGACAGGCCCGGGGUUCGAUUCCCCGAUUCGGAA